UUACGGGAGGCAGCAGUAGGGAAUAUUGGGCAAUGGGCGGAAGCCUGACCCAGCCAUGCCGCGUGCAGGAAGAAGGCGUUAUGCGUUGUAAACUGCUUUUUUAUAGGAAGAAGGAUCCCUUGCGAGGGAAGGUGACGGUACUAUAAGAAUAAGCACCGGCUAACUCCGUGCCAGCAGCCGCGGUAAUACGGAGGGUGCAAGCGUUGUCCGGAUUUAUUGGGUUUAAAGGGUGCGUAGGCGGUUUAUUAAGUCAGUGGUGAAAGACGGUCGCUCAACGAUUGCAGUGCCAUUGAUACUGGUAGACUUGAGUGAGAUUGAGGUAGCUGGAAUGGAUAGUGUAGCGGUGAAAUGCAUAGAUAUUAUCCAGAACACCGAUUGCGAAGGCAGGUUACUAAGUCUUAACUGACGCUGAGGCACGAAAGUGUGGGGAUCAAACAGGAUUAGAUACCCUGGUAGU
rnacentral:rRNA from 1 species